rnacentral:lncRNA from 1 species
UCGGUCGGUCAACUGCUACACGUCUGCAAAACAGUCUCCGACGAAACUGACCUCACUGCCACUCCACAAUAACCCAAACUCCAAUUUUGCAUCCACCACAAAACGCCACGAUUUCCUCCCUUACAACACCAUCAGAACCACACGUCACCAAGAACGACAUCGCCACCACGACAACACCAUAAAAACUCUAAUGCCUUAGCCGUCGUAUUUCCUCUACACUCUGUUGUGGUAGUUUUUUUUCUUGCUCUCUCUUGAUGUGUUUGGUGUUGUUGGAAUGGUAG